rnacentral:misc_RNA from 1 species
AACAAUAUCACUUUUUUAUUAAAUUUGUCAUGAAUUUUGCAUCGCCUUAGUACUGAAUUCUAAGCAUUUGCCCUCAAAAAAACAUCAGAUAGACAGCUAAUUUCUGUUGAUCAUUUUUUUUACAGCAUUUAGGCGUUUUUAACACAUGUGACUAUAAUCGAUGGUGGAUGUAUAAUGGAUGGUGGAAUCAUGUGGAUGUAAUCGUUAACUUUUUCAGCUGCAUCAACGUUAUGGAUAUAUGUGUGUUGAAAGGGGAUAUAAUCCACAGCAGAACGUGAUUUUAAUGUUGCUUGGCUCUGAGGAUAAUGCUUGGGUUUCAAAAUUCUUCGUUCAAAUAUUGGCUACUAAUGGAACAACCGGACUACUAACAUAGCUUCAUAUAUAUCUAAGUGUAGAUAAUAUUGAUUGCUGUUCAAAAGGAAAUUCGACUGAAAUGAAAGUUGCAGUAACAUUACGUAUCUUGUCA